rnacentral:lncRNA from 1 species
CUAUAAAUUAAAAUAAAGGAAUCAAUCACGUUCAUAAUCAAUACCAUAUCAGUACAGGACAGGCUAUUUGGUAAUCACGUCCAAGAGAAUGAGUUGCAAAAAUAUGAACACCGCUGACCAAAGGAAUGCAGUGCCGCAUCUUUUUAUUAGACUUUCACCAUCACAUGCAGUUCCUAACGCUAAUUGUGAUGCCAUCACUUUGUCUGUAACUAGAUGAUACCCCGCGCGUUGCUGCUGGAAUUGCUUGUAACAUAGUUCAGUGAGAUUUAGUUACACGAAAUGUGAAUAGUUGAAUUAAUAGUAUGAGAACUAAAACUUGCCAAUCAACUAACUGGGAGGUGCACAUUAAGGAAAGAAAAAAAUGUUGGCUAUCUGGUGGUGGUACGACAUAUGCUGACGUGCAUGAAAGGAUUAACAUGAAUGCCAUUUAGUAAAAUAUCUACUCUAAUGAAAUUGCUUCAUUUGGUUGAGUCAAGAACUAUAUGAUCGUAUGUGUGGCGUUGAGAUUAUCUUUGAGAAUACUCUGAAAAAAAAAAGAGAUUAUCUUUGAGAACAUUCCAUGUUUAUAUGUAAAUGGACUUAAUGAAUGGAUAAUGUUAUAAAGACAUGUGGUGCCAACGGGGUGCAAAGGUUUUGAUAUUUGAAAUCAUUGACAGAGAAACUGCUAUACUCGAUCUCGACUGAAAUCUUGCAAAACAUAUAUACCUGAAGAAAUAAUCAACAACCCUCCAUAUUUGCAAUAAAUGUGAAAGCAGGAACGCUGAAAUUUAACGGAGUUGCAUUAAUCAAGAAAGGUCCAAACCUGAACAAUGAAUGUCUAUUAGAACGGCCAUGCAUGUAAAUAAAACAAAACUAAAACGACACUAACAUCUAACAGGAAUAGUAGUGCAAAAGAAUUAUCAAACGGAUAAUCAUAGCCGAACCACAUAGAACUAGACCAAUUGUCUAAUGUGAAAUUCUACAAGCAAACAUAUUCCAAUUAAAAUAAUGAAAUCCAUUUUAGUUAAUCUAAUCCAUAAAAAAAUGAUUACAUGUGAAGAAUUACCAUCUGUCAACUCGGCGAGGGCUUGAGGCGCGGAUAGCCGGAUAUGUAGCUCAAAAACCCAAUCUCUGUUUGAUUUGAUAGUCAGAAAAGUAUGUGUACAUGACAUACCCACUGUUACUGAAAAUAAAAUGGCAUGGCAGUUCAAUGGGCAUGCCUUCAGCGUACCUAAAGCUCGUAUAUAGUACAACAACAGUGGUCAAUGAUCCAGUAAUAAUAUACUCAAGAGAUAUGUAAGGUCAAGAAGAGAAUUUACUUAAACAAAGUUGUUCCGGUGAGACACUGAGGCAAAACACAAUGAGAUAAAAUAGCAGCUCGUCAUACAAGCGAAAUUGAUUUUUAUUAUACCAUGGAACUUAAUCCAUUAAACAACCAAGGAAACCUGACGAUGAUGCUAGCGGACAUGCAUCUACCACAUGGAACACGCCGAAUAUACAUGCGACUUGACUUCAAUCUGUUAAUGCAAUAUAAGGAUGGAGAAGGAACACACACUGAAGAGGAACACAUAUUUACCGGAAGCACACUAGGACUCGUCGGGCCUGGGACUUGAUUAGGAUGUGGGGUGGCGAGACUGAUGUCACAUCUACCACUAAAGAGAAAAUCUAUGAUGCUAGAUGUACUACUCCACCAACUGAGACAAUAGUGAUAGAAACAUCAACCCGUAGCAGCGACCGGUAGGCUGACCUUUGCCGCUCCAGCAGAGAGGAGAGGGGAUACGGAUGUCACAUCACUACAUCAAAUCAAGGCACUCAUAAAGCAAAUCAAGAGGGAGGGAGAAGGAGAGGAGAUGCUCACGGUCUUGUUCGGGUUAGGCUUAUGACCUGCAGCAAGGAGGCGGGGAGGCGGUCGGCCUAAACGUGGGAUGACCACUCCUGGGGGGCCUUGUAGAAGAGGAACAGGCGGCCCUCGUGGAUGCCUACCGUCCCAGCAGCUUCUCCUUGGCGAGCUCCUC